AUACUUACCUGGAUGGGGUCAAUGGACGAUCAUGAAGGUCUAUGGCCUAGGUUGGUGACCUCCAUUGCACUUUGGAGGGGUGUCUGCCUAAGGUGUUCUCAAGUAGAACAGCAGCCUACAUUAUAAUUUGUUGCUGUGGGGGCCUGCGUUCGCGUGGCCCCCCU
rnacentral:snRNA from 2 species